AGUGGGGAAUAUUGCACAAUGGGCGAAAGCCUGAUGCAGCAACGCCGCGUGAGGGAUGACGGCCUUCGGGUUGUAAACCUCUUUUAGCAGGGAAGAAGCGAAAGUGACGGUACCUGCAGAAAAAGCGCCGGCUAACUACGUGCCAGCAGCCGCGGUAAUACGUAGGGCGCAAGCGUUAUCCGGAAUUAUUGGGCGUAAAGAGCUCGUAGGCGGUUUGUCGCGUCUGCUGUGAAAUCCCGAGGCUCAACCUCGGGCCUGCAGUGGGUACGGGCAGACUAGAGUGCGGUAGGGGAGAUUGGAAUUCCUGGUGUAGCGGUGGAAUGCGCAGAUAUCAGGAGGAACACCGAUGGCGAAGGCAGAUCUCUGGGCCGUAACUGACGCUGAGGAGCGAAAGGGUGGGGAGCAAACAGGCUUAGAUACCCUGGUAGUCCACCCCGUAAACGUUGGGAACUAGUUGUGGGGACCAUUCCACGGUUUCCGUGACGCAGCUAACGCA
rnacentral:rRNA from 1 species